rnacentral:rRNA from 1 species
GUUUCCCAGUCACGAUAGCUAGUUGGUGGGGUAAAGGCUCACCAAGGCGACGAUCUGUAGCGGGUCUGAGAGGAUGAUCCGCCACACUGGAACUGAGACACGGUCCAGACUCCUACGGGAGGCAGCAGUGGGGAAUAUUGGACAAUGGGCGCAAGCCUGAUCCAGCCAUGCCGCGUGUGUGAAGAAGGCCUUUUGGUUGUAAAGCACUUUAAGCGAGGAGGAGGGUACUCUAGUUAAUACCUAGAUGUAUCGGACGUUACUCGCAGAAUAAGCACCGGCUAACUCUGUGCCAGCAGCCGCGGUAAUACAGAGGGUGCGAGCGUUAAUCGGAAUUACUGGGCGUAAAGCGCGCGUAGGCGGUUUGUUAAGUCGGAUGUGAAAUCCCCGGGCUCAACCUGGGAACUGCAUUCGAUACUGGCAGACUAGAGUAUGGGAGAGGAUGGUAGAAUUCCAGGUGUAGCGGUGAAAUGCGUAGAGAUCUGGAGGAAUACCGAUGGCGAAGGCAGCCAUCUGGCCUAAUACUGACGCUGAGGUGCGAAAGCAUGGGGAGCAAACAGGAUUAGAUACCCUGGUAGUCCAUGCCGUAAACGAUGUCAACUAGCCGUUGGGGACCUUGAGUCUUUAGUGGCGCAGCUAACGCGAUAAGUUGACCGCCUGGGGAGUACGGCCGCAAGGUUAAAACUCAAAUGAAUUGACGGGGGCCCGCACAAGCGGUGGAGCAUGUGGUUUAAUUCGAUGCAACGCGAAGAACCUUACCUGGCCUUGACAUACAGAGAAUCUUUCAGAGAUGAGAGAGUGCCUUCGGGAAUUCUGAUACAGGUGCUGCAUGGCUGUCGUCAGCUCGUGUCGUGAGAUGUUGGGUUAAGUCCCGCAACGAGCGCAACCCUUUUCCUUAUUUGCCAGCACUUCGGGUGGGAACUCUAAGGAUACUGCCAGUGACAAACUGGAGGAAGGCGGGGACGACGUCAAGUCAUCAUGGCCCUUACGGCCAGGGCUACACACGUGCUACAAUGGCCGGUACAGAGGGUUGC